UACGUAGGGGGCAAGCGUUGUCCGGAUUUAUUGGGCGUAAAGAGCGUGUAGGCGGCCAGGUAGGUCGGUUGUGAAAACUCGAGGCUCAACCUCGAGAUGUCGACCGAAACCAUCUGGCUAGAGUCCGGAAGAGGAGAAUGGAAUGCCCGGUGUAGCGGUGAAAUGCGCAGAUAUCGGGAAGAACACCCGUGGCGAAGGCGGUUCUCUGGGACGGUACUGACGCUGAGACGCGAAAGCGUGGGGAGCGAACAGG
rnacentral:rRNA from 1 species